rnacentral:lncRNA from 1 species
CGAUUGCAAACCACAGAGCUGCCUGCAACACACACACGCUCGCAGAGGGAGCGAGAAAAGCUAGAGGGAGAGAGGGGAGAGGAGCUUUGCAGCCAAAGCAGCUUCUCAGCAGAACGGCUACAUUGCACAAGCUGCUUUUUCGGAGGAGCUCAGUGGAAGAAAAAAGCUUUGGGAUUUUUUUUUUUUUAUUAGAUCCACUUUUUUAUUUUGUUUUCUUUGGCUUUCCCCUGCCUCUUGAUCAUUUGCAACAACAACAACAGAAAGUGACUUGGUAUUGGCGAUUCGGCCUCCUGUUCAUUGAGGAAAAAAAGGGCUGGAUUUAUUUGCAAACCGCAGGAAGAAGAAAAUACAAGAGAGAGAGGGAUUUGGUGCAGCGCCGCGAUCACGGAUUUCAGAUGUGUUCUAAGCCUGCCGGGGU